GGAAUAAACUCAAUUACUAUUGACACCAGCAAAUCCAGCUUUCAGCAAAGACCUAUGAAGGCCCUGACCACAUAACAGAGAGAACAAGUAGCAUGAGUGGCACUCUAUUAAGGAAACUACUAUUAAGCCUGCAGCAACAGAUGGAUUUUGUAGCAUAAUCUAAAGGUCAACAACUUCUGACCAGCAAACUAAUGGAGAACAGACCAGACUGCAGCAAGUUCAGCACUGGGGAAACCUAAUUAAAAAUUAUGUUCAUAUUUAA